AACGCACGAGACCUGCGGACCUGCGGAGGGAUCAUUACAGAGUUUUCUAAACUCCCAAACCCAUGUGAACUUACCAUUGUUGCCUCGGCGGAGCCUACCCUGUAGCUACCCUAUAAGGUGGUUACCCUGUAGCGCCCCGCCGGUGGAUUUUCAAACUCUUGUUAUUUAUAGUAAUCUGAGAGUCUUAUUUUAAAUAAGUCAAAACUUUUAGCAAUGGAUCUCUAGAUCGGAAGAGCACAC
rnacentral:misc_RNA from 1 species